rnacentral:rRNA from 1 species
AUACAUGCAGUCGAACGAUACCAUUUGGCUUGCUCGAUGGGAAAGUGGCGCACGGGUGCGUAACGCGUAUGCAACCUACCUUAAUCAGGGGGAUAGCCCGAAGAAAUUCGGAUUAACACCGCAUAAAAUCACAGUACAGCAUUGUACAAUGAUCAAAUAUUUAUAGGAUUAAGAUGGGCAUGCGUGUCAUUAGUUAGUUGGCGAGGUAACGGCUCACCAAGACCACGAUGACUAGGGGAUCUGAGAGGAUGACCCCCCACACUGGUACUGAGACACGGACCAGACUCCUACGGGAGGCAGCAGUAAGGAAUAUUGGUCAAUGGAGGCAACUCUGAACCAGCCAUGCCGCGUGCAGGAAGACAGCCCUCUGGGUCGUAAACUGCUUUUAUUCGGGAAUAAACCUACUUACGUGUAAGUAGCUGAAUGUACCGAAGGAAUAAGGAUCGGCUAACUCCGUGCCAGCAGCCGCGGUAAUACGGAGGAUCCAAGCGUUAUCCGGAUUUAUUGGGUUUAAAGGGUGCGUAGGCGGCUUAUUAAGUCAGGGGUGAAAGACGGUGGCUCAACCAUCGCAGUGCCCUUGAUACUGAUGAGCUUGAAUACACUAGAGGUAGGCGGAAUGUGACAAGUAGCGGUGAAAUGCAUAGAUAUGUCACAGAACACCGAUUGCGAAGGCAGCUUACUAUGGUGUCAUUGACGCUGAGGCACGAAAGCGUGGGGAUCAAACAGGAUUAGAUACCCUGGUAGUCCACGCCCUAAACGAUGAAUACUCGCUGUUAGCGAUACACAGUUAGCGGCUAAGCGAAAGCGUUAAGUAUUCCACCUGGGGAGUACGCCCGCAAGGGUGAAACUCAAAGGAAUUGACGGGGGCCCGCACAAGCGGAGGAGCAUGUGGUUUAAUUCGAUGAUACGCGAGGAACCUUUACCCGGGCCUUGAAAGUUAGUGAAUGAGAUAGAGAUAUUUCAGUGAGCAAUCACACGAAACUAGGUGCUGCAUGGCUGUCGUCAGCUCGUGCCGUGAGGUGUUGGGUUAAGUUCCCGCAACGAGCGCAACCCCUAUGUUUAGUUGCCAGCACGUUAAGGUGGGGACUCUAAACAGACUGCCUGUGCAAACAGAGAGGAAGGAGGGGACGACGUCAAGUCAUCAUGGCCCUUACGUCCGGGGCUACACACGUGCUACAAUGGGUGGUACAGAGGGCAGCAAGCUGGCAACAGCAAGCAAAUCUCAAAAAGCCAUUCACAGUUCGGAUAGAGGUCUGCAACUCGACCUCUUGAAGUUGGAUUCGCUAGUAAUCGCGUAUCAGCAAUGACGCGGUGAAUACGUUCCCGGGCCUUGUACACACCGCCCGUCAAGCCAUGGAAGUUGGGGGUACCUAAAGUAUGUAACCGCAAGGUAGCGUCCUA